GCUGUGGCCUGCUGAGCAUCCAGGAAGAUAGUGAACUCUGAGAGGUGGCACAGUGGUAAAGAGUCUGCCUGCCAAUGCAGGAGACACAAGGGACACGGCUUUGACCUCUGGGUCAGGAAGAUCCCUUGGAGAAGGAAAUGGCAUCCCACUCCAGUAUUCUUACCUGGAAAAUUCCAUGGACGGAGGAGCCUGAAUUCCAUGAAUAGAGGAGCUUGCUGGAUUACAGUCUAUUGGGGUCGCAAAGAGUCAGACACAACUGAAGCAACUGACACUUUAAUCAAUAAAGGAUUCUCCAGGCAAGAAUACUGGACUGGGUUGCCGUGGCCUCCUCCAGGGAGUCUUCCUGACCCAGUCAUCAAAGUCGGAGUCUCUUAUGUCUCCUGCAUUGGCAGGCAUGUGGGACCUUAGCUUCCAGACCAGGUGUGGAACCUGCACCCCCUGCAUUGGAAGGUAUUGAAGGUGAAAUUGAAGGUGAAAAAGAAGCAGCACUUUUGGCAUAUUAUGCUUUAUUAUUACAAGAAAAGAAAGAUUGCAACUGAAAUGCAAAUAAAGAUUUGUGCAGUGUACGGAGAAUGUGCUGUGACUGAUCAAAUGCAUCAAAAGUGGCUUGUGAAGUUUCUAGCUGGAGAUUUCUCGCUGGAUGAUGCUCCAUAGUUGGUAGACCAGUUGAAGAUGAUCACACUUGAAUUGAGACAUUAAUUGAGAACCAUCAGUGUUUAUAGCACAUGAGAGAUAGCUGACCUACUCAAAAUAUCCAAAUCAAGUGUUGAAAAUCAUUUGCACCACCUCAGCUAUGUUCAUUGCUUUGAUGUUUGGGUUCCACAUAAAUUGAACCAAAAAAAUCUUCUUGACCAUAUUUCUUCCUGUGAUUCUUUACUUAAAUGUAACAAAAUGUUCUCUUUUAAAAACAUUGUGACAGGCUAUGAAAAGUGGAUACCCUAUAAUCAAGUGGGGCUAUGAAAAGUGGAUACUGUACAAUCAUGUGGAACAGAAGAGAUCAUGGCGCAGGUGAAAUGAACCACUACCAACCACACCAAAGACUGGUCUUCAUCCAAAGAAGGUGGUGUGUAUAUGGUGGGAUUGGGAGUCCUCUAUUAUGAGCUCCUUCCAGAAAACUGAACAGUUAAUUCCAACAAGUACUGCCCCCAGUUUGACCAACUGAAAGCAGCACUUGCUGAAAAGCAUCCAGAAUUAGUCAAUAGAAAACACAUAAUUUUCCAUCAGGAUGACACAAGACUGCUUGUUUCUUUGAUGAUCAGGCAAAAACUGUUACUGCCUGGUUGGGAAGUUCUGAUUCAUCUGCUGUAUUCACCAGACAUUGCAGCUUUAGAUUUCCAUUCACAAAAUUCUCUCAAUGGAAAAAAAAAUUCAAUUCCCUGGAAGACUGUAAAAGACACGUGGAACAGUUCCUUGCUCAAAAAGAUAAGUUUUGGGAUGGUAGAAUUAUGAAGUUGCCUGAAAAAUGGCAAAAGGUAGUGAAACAGAGAGUUGAAUAUGUUACUUAAUAAAAUUCUUAGUGAAAAUGAAAAAUGUGUCUUUUAUAUUUAUUUAAAAGCUGAAGGAACAAAGCAAGCAUUUUUAUGAAAAAUGAGCAUACUGCUAAUUAAAACACUCAAAAAGAGGUUUGAUAUUGAACUGAAAAUUUUAGAACUGGAAGGUAUCUUAGAGAACAUCUAUGUAAAACUUUUUCUCCUUAUCUUUGUCCCCAUUCUGUCAAGAAGAAAACUAAAACCCUAAGAGAUGUGGUUGCUGUCCCAGUUCACAGCACAAGAUAAGAAGACCAUUGUCUGAGGCUUGUGGCUAUUUGAUUCAUUAUAUCUAAUGGGAGAGUUUUAGGACUGUGGUUAGACAAACCAGUAUGGAAAUAUUUGGGAGGUGGGCAAGGUGGACAGAAGACUAUUUCUAAAGUUCUUAUGCAGCACCAAAUAGAAUUGUCAAGAAAAUGCUCUGAAAGAAGAGCAGUGAUGGGGGUGGAGAAAGACAGGGAAGAAUUAACCCUGCCAAGAAGUUAAAAUAUGUUAUAAAGCUUUAUUAAUUAAAAUAUUAGUUGUUCAUUAGUGUCCGACUCUUUGCAGCCCUAUGGACUGUAGCCUGCCAGGCUUCUCUGUUCCUGGAAUUCUCCAGGCAAGAAUACUGGAGUGGAUUGCCAUGCUUUCCUCCAGAGGAUCUUCCCAACGCAGGGAUCAAACCCAGGUCUUCCACAUUGCAGGUGGAUUCUUUGCCAUCUGAGCCACCAGGGAAGCCCAAUUAAAAGAUGUGGUGCUGGUUCAUAGACAUAUAAACCAAUGGAACACACUAAAUCCAAGUAUAUUUAGAAAUUCAGCAUAUGACAAAGGCAUCU
ensembl:lncRNA